rnacentral:lncRNA from 1 species
AAAAGGAGAGUCUCAGAGAGAGAGGGAGAGAGAAGGGACGUGUGAACAGCGUGAGCAGAUCCUGACAGCUCGGCGCCUUGGUGUGGGUUGCACAGAGAACAGGGGCAUUGGUUCGUGCACUCAAAAGUCCAGUUGUCACCCGGGACUGGGACAUUCACAUCCCCAAGGAUGCGGUGUUGCUGUGCAGAGCCGCCCUGCCCCUGAGGCAGCAGCAGCAGGGAGAAUGUGUGCUCCUGUGUGCCUAGCCUCCCCUCCUUCAGUGGAUCAUUCAUUCUCCAGAAUAGUAAAGCAGGUGGAGAGCCUGAUGCUUGUGGAAAUGAUUUGCUCAGGGUCUCGCUGUCAGAAGUGGCAGAAAAGAUUCCAACCUGUUUUGAAUGCUGCAUACUGAGCUGACUCUCAUCCGUGCCAUCAUACCUACUUUUGGAUUUCAAUCCUCCUGAAGGCAGGAAACAUAUUCCAUCUGCUUUUAUAUACUCCAUAACACUAGUGAGCAAGCUUUGCUCAACGUAACAUUGAAUAUUUUGCUAAAUCUAGGUGAAAAAGAAGUACAGAUUUAACACCAUCAAAAGUCAAUAUUCGAGAAAGAGAGACAGAUUUAGCAUUAGCUGUACCAAUCAAAUCAAUGUUAACAUGCACUUAUUCUCUGCAUGGGAGUAAGACACCAAACACAAUUGAAAAAAUGAGCCAAGUAUAAAAAAUGUGUCACAAAGGGAUGGAUUUAGACAGACAGAAGAGCAGUGAAGUAGGUUAUAAAAUGCUCAGCAUAAUCCAUUUUAAUGAAUUAUUAGCUGAAACAUGCAAAGCGUUUAGGAUUUCUGGGAGACGUGUACAAACAUACCAAAUGUUUGUCUGACAUUUUCUUCCCUGCUUCUGUCUUUCUCCAGGGCUGGAGAUGCUGUUGACUGAUGGCCUUGGGAGGAGAGGUUGCAGCUGAGCCCACACUCUCAAAAUCCUCCAGACUGUUUCUACUUUUGUAGACUAAUUUUCUGUUAACCCAAAAUCCCUCAGACUUACUCAACCAGUACAGCAGUCAUUGGCCGGAGUUCAAUUUUCUGGUUCGAAGGAAUGUGAGUUCUACCUGCCAGUACUGAUUGUUAACAGUUAUGGCUUCAUACGUAGAGGAGGUGUGUCUUUGCUCACUACA